rnacentral:tRNA from 2 species
CGCGGCGUCCGGGCGGUCCCGGUCAUCGGCUCAUACCCGAUCGCGUUGCGGGUUCGACUCCCGCCGUCGCGUCCA